rnacentral:rRNA from 1 species
CAGCCGCCGCGGUAAUACGUAGGUCCCGAGCGUUGUCCGGAUUUAUUGGGCGUAAAGCGAGCGCAGGCGGUUAGAUAAGUCUGAAGUUAAAGGCUGUGGCUUAACCAUAGUACGCUUUGGAAACUGUUUAACUUGAGUGCAAGAGGGGAGAGUGGAAUUCCAUGUGUAGCGGUGAAAUGCGUAGAUAUAUGGAGGAACACCGGUGGCGAAAGCGGCUCUCUGGCUUGUAACCGACGCUGAGGCUCGAAAGCGCGGGGAGCAAACAGGAUUAGAUACCCCGGUAGUCCCUGUCUCUUAUACC